GCUCUUUUAGCGCAGUUGGUAGCGCGUGGCUCUGAUAAGGCCAAGGUCAUCGGUUCGAACCCGGUAAAGAGCA
rnacentral:tRNA from 1 species